ACUGGAUCCUAUUAAAUAAUUCAAUGGUAGCGGUGUAAUUUUGGUUGGAACCAGCACGGAUUCCCAAGUCGUGACUGCAAAAAGUGGUCAAACCUGUCCUGACACCCAGAGGUCUGCAUGAUGGGUGGCCACUGAAGGAGGAGUUCUCAAAGGCCACAGGUGAUGAAGAGCUUGGAUGAAUGAACUUCUGUCCCAGGAAAAUAGCAAAAAUUUCAUCUCCUGAAGAAAUUUGAAGAUUUUUUUGGAUGUUCUUUUAAAUGUGAAACUUUUCUUCUUUAGUUGUCACAGGUAGUACUGAUGGAAUUGGAAAAUCAUAUGCAGAAGAGUUAGCAAAGCAUGGAAUGAAGGUUGUCCUUAUCAGCAGAUCAAAGGAUAAACUUGACCAGGUUUCCAGUGAAAUAAAAGAAAAAUUCAAAGUGGAGACAAGAACCAUUGCUGUUGACUUUGCAUCAGAAGAUAUUUAUGAUAAAAUUAAAACAGCCUUGGCUGGUCUUGAAAUCGGCAUCUUAGUGAACAACGUGGGAAUGUCGUAUGAGUAUCCUGAAUACUUUUUGGAUGUUCCUGACUUGGACAAUGUGAUCAAGAAAAUGAUAAAUAUUAAUAUUCUUUCUGUUUGUAAGAUGACACAAUUGGUACUGCCUGGCAUGGUGGAAAGAUCCAAAGGGGCUAUUCUGAACAUUUCAUCUGGCAGUGGCAUGCUCCCUGUCCCACUCUUGACCAUCUAUUCUGCAACCAAGACUUUUGUAGAUUUUUUCUCUCAGUGCCUCCA
rnacentral:sRNA from 1 species